CGGGACACGUGGUAUCCUGUCUGAAUAUGGGGGGACCAUCCUCCAAGGCUAAAUACUCCUGACUGACCGAUAGUGAACCAGUACCGUGAGGGAAAGGCGAAAAGAACCCCGGCGAGGGGAGUGAAAAAGAACCUGAAACCGUGUACGUACAAGCAGUGGGAGCACGCUUAGGCGUGUGACUGCGUACCUUUUGUAUAAUGGGUCAGCGACUUAUAUUCUGUAGCAAGGUUAACCGAAUAGGGGAGCCGAAGGGAAACCGAGUCUUAACUGGGCGUUAAGUUGCAGGGUAUAGACCCGAAACCCGGUGAUCUAGCCAUGGGCAGGUUGAAGGUUGGGUAACACUAACUGGAGGACCGAACCGACUAAUGUUGAAAAAUUAGCGGAUGACUUGUGGCUGGGGGUGAAAGGCCAAUCAAACCGGGAGAUAGCUGGUUCUCCCCGAAAGCUAUUUAGGUAGCGCCUCGUGAAUUCAUCUCCGGGGGUAGAGCACUGUUUCGGCAAGGGGGUCAUCCCGACUUACCAACCCGAUGCAAACUGCGAAUACCGGAGAAUGUUAUCACGGGAGACACACGGCGGGUGCUAACGUCCGUCGUGAAGAGGGAAACAACCCAGACCGCCAGCUAAGGUCCCAAAGUCAUGGUUAAGUGGGAAACGAUGUGGGAAGGCCCAGACAGCCAGGAUGUUGGCUUAGAAGCAGCCAUCAUUUAAAGAAAGCGUAAUAGCUCACUGGUCGAGUCGGCCUGCGCGGAAGAUGUAACGGGGCUAAACCAUGCACCGAAGCUGCGGCAGCGACACUAUGUGUUGUUGGGUAGGGGAGCGUUCUGUAAGCCUGUGAAGGUGUACUGUGAGGUAUGCUGGAGGUAUCAGAAGUGCGAAUGCUGACAUAAGUAACGAUAAAGCGGGUGAAAAGCCCGCUCGCCGGAAGACCAAGGGUUCCUGUCCAACGUUAAUCGGGGCAGGGUGAGUC
rnacentral:rRNA from 1 species